ACUUCGGUGGUUCAGUGGUAGAAUGCUCGCCUUGCUCGCAUGCUACGCGAGCGGCCCGGGUUCGAUUCCCGGCCGAUGCA
rnacentral:tRNA from 1 species